AUUCCCCACUGCUGCCUCCCGUAGGAGUAUGGACCGUGUCUCAGUUCCAUUGUGGGGGACCUUCCUCUCAGAACCCCUACCCAUCGUCGCCUCGGUGGGCCGUUACCCCCCCGACUAGCUAAUGGGACGCGAGCCAAUCCGUGACCACCGGAAUUUUUAAUGAAGAACCAUGCGAUCCUCCAUCGUAUGGGGGGUUAGGCGACGUUUCCAUCGGUUAUCCCCCGGUCACGGGCAUGUCGCUCACGCGUUACGCACCCUUGCGCCGGUCGCCGCCAAUUGUAUUACUACAACCGCGCUGCCCCUCGACUUGCAUGUGUUAAGCCUGCCGCCAGCGUUCAUCCUGAGCCAA
rnacentral:rRNA from 1 species